GUGGACGUGCCUGCCCAGACAGCCGGAGUGAAGAUAGUUCCUGGGCCCGAGGGAGAAAAGCCCCACCAUCUCUGGGACAUUGUCGCAGGCCUGGGGGAAUUUUCCUUUGGUCAUACCAAGGAAUGACCCGGUAGAUAAACUGCACUGUCUAAUGGACCAAGAGUAUGGACAUGGUUGAACUGGAUGAUCUGUUUAACUGAAGCCUUUGGAGCAGAGGAACUUGAACGAGUGUCUGGAAAGCACUCUAUGAAGCAGCAGGGGAAGAAUUCUCUCAAGUUGCUAAAGCCGGGAUGCUAUGGCUCGCUUCAGAAGACUGUAAUUUGGGGUACGAGAAUGGUAAAACCAACAUUUGCAAACCUCAGAUACAAAGAGAGUCAAUUAAAGGAGGAGCUUCGUUGUGACCAAAGAUACGAGGAGAAUUUCAGGGUUGGCUUCAGAUUCACAUCACUUCCUCUCAUCCGUGACUCAGAAGUGAAGUGUGUGUGUGUGUGUGUGUGCGCGCGCGCGUGUGGUGUGUGUAUUUAUAUGGGGAGAGUAUGUGCAAAGCUGAUUGCCCAGGUCACAGAAGUCAUCUUAAUUAAUUUAAUGAUGCAAAUAAGAGUUAUCCAGC
rnacentral:lncRNA from 1 species